rnacentral:sRNA from 1 species
AAAUAUCCACCAGGUCCAGCACUUGAGUGCACUGCUUUAACUUGGCGAAAACAGGAACUCAGAAGUCAGAAGCAGCCCAUAAUUGGAAUCUAUCUAGAUCUAGAUUAAUUUCAAACUUUAAUUCAGAGAUAGAGCUCUCUAUGGCUGUUACUCCUACUAGUUAUAUAGUGAAUGGACAAUGGGGUCAGUGGUCAGUCUGGACCUGUAGCAAGCCUUGUGGAUUUGGGAAAAUAAUCAGGACAAGGCUAUGUGACAGCCCGAUCCCAAGCUUGGGUGGACUGAAUUGUCAACCUCCUAAAGACAAUAUACAGUCUAGUCCCGAUGACUGCAGGCUAUCAAUAUGUC